rnacentral:rRNA from 1 species
UACGGGGGGGGCAAGCGUUGUUCGGAAUUACUGGGCGUAAAGGGCUCGUAGGCGGCCAACUAAGUCAGACGUGAAAUCCCUCGGCUUAACCGGGGAACUGCGUCUGAUACUGGAUGGCUUGAAUUUGGGAGAGGGAUGCGGAAUUCCAGGUGUAGCGGUGAAGUGCGUAGAUAUCUGGAAGAACACCCGUGGCGAAGGCGGCUCUCUGGGACGGUACUGACGCUGAGACGCGAAAGCGUGGGGAGCGAACAGG